rnacentral:rRNA from 1 species
GAUGAACGCUAGCGGCAGGCUUAAUACAUGCAAGUCGAGGGGCAGCAAGGGUAGCAAUACCUGUUGGCGACCGGCAAACGGGUGCGGAACACGUACAGAACCUUCCUUUAAGCGGGGGAUAGCCCAUAGAAAUGUGGAUUAAUACCCCAUAGUAAUGUUGUCUGGCAUCAGAUGAUAUUUAAAGAUUUAUCACUUAAAGAUGGCUGUGCGGCUGAUUAGGUAGUUGGUGGGGUAACGGCCCACCAAGCCAGCGAUCAGUAACUGGUGUGAGAGCACGACCAGUCACACGGGCACUGAGACACGGGCCCGACUCCUACGGGAGGCAGCAGUAAGGAAUAUUGGUCAAUGGACGCAAGUCUGAACCAGCCAU